rnacentral:rRNA from 1 species
AUAGCGACUAUCGUGGCAUAUCAAUAAGCGGAGGAAAAGAAACUAACAAGGAUUCCCCUAGUAACGGCGAGUGAAGCGGGAAGAGCUCAAAUUUGAAAUCUUAAAGGGUUUCCCUUUACGAAUUGUAGUUUAAAGAAGUGUUUUCUGUUGGAGUUUCGGUAAAAGUUCUUUGGAAUAGGACAUCAUAGAGGGUGAGAAUCCCGUAUUUGACCGUUACUUUCCAGCUGUGUGAUACACUUUCAAAGAGUCGGAUUGUUUGGGAAUGCAGUCCAAAAUGGGUGGUAAAUUUCAUCUAAAGCUAAAUAUUGGCGAGAGACCGAUAGCGAACAAGUACCGUGAGGGAAAGAUGAAAAGAACUUUGAAAAGAGAGUUAAACAGUACGUGAAAUUGUCAAAAGGGAAGCGUUUGACACCAGUGUUGUUUAGUUGAAAAUCAAUUCAAUAAUUUUUGAUUUUAAGUAGUAUUGACUUCAUCAGCUUGCUGCUUUCUUUUCGGAAAUUAUUGAAUGCACUUUUCAGUUAACAAGUCAACAUCAAUUUCUUUUGUUGUAAAAGGGUAAGAGGAAGGUGGCUUACGCUUCGGCGUAAGUGUUUAUAGCCUUUUACCUCUGCAAUCGGAGAGAUUGAGGAUCAGCAGCGUAGACUCCUUCGGGGUUAGAUACACUUGUGCUAAGCUAUAGCCUUGUAUAGACAACUUGUUGACUAUGCUUCAGUCAUGUAGCUUACUCGCUAUUGCUAUUUUACCUACGCUUAGGAUGUUGAUAGUCACAGCGUGUAC